GACGAACCGUGCGAACGUUAUUCGGAAUCACUGGGCUUAAAGCGUGUGUAGGCGGAUCGUUAAGUGCCUUGUGAAAUCCCACGGCUCAACCGUGGAACUGCUUGGCAUACUGGCGGUCUUGAGCCACUUAGGGGCUACCGGAACAAAUGGUGGAGCGGUGAAAUGCGUAGAUAUCAUUUGGAACGCCAAUGGUGAAAACAGGUAGCUGGGAGUGUGCUGACGCUGAGACACGAAAGCCAGGGGAGCGAACGGG
rnacentral:rRNA from 1 species